UACGUAGGGGGCUAGCGUUGUCCGGAAUCAUUGGGCGUAAAGCGCGUGUAGGCGGCCCGGUAAGUCCGCUGUGAAAGUCCAGGGCUCAACCCUGGGAUGCCGGUGGAUACUGUCGGGCUCGAGUCCGGAAGAGGCGAGUGGAAUUCCUGGUGUAGCGGUGAAAUGCGCAGAUAUCGGGAGGAACACCAAUGGCGAAGGCAGCUCGCUGGGACGUGACUGACGCUGAGACGCGAAAGCGUGGGGAGCAAACAGG
rnacentral:rRNA from 1 species